rnacentral:rRNA from 1 species
GUGCCAGCAGCCGCGGUAAUACGUAGGUGGCAAGCGUUGUCCGGAAUUACUGGGCGUAAAGGGUGCGCAGGCGGACAUUUAAGUGAGAUGUGAAAGACCCGGGCUUAACUUGGGCAGUGCAUUUCAAACUGGAUGUCUGGAGUGCAGGAGAGGAGAACGGAAUUCCUAGUGUAGCGGUGAAAUGCGUGAAGAUUAGGAAUAACCACAGUGGCGAAGGCGGUUCUCGGGACUGUAACUGAC